rfam:Eutrema salsugineum unplaced genomic scaffold scaffold_5, whole genome shotgun sequence.
UGUGCAAGUGACGAUGAAAAGACAGGGACAUCAGAAAACCUCCUGUUUGGAGAAUGAGAAUGAUGACUAAUGUCUAAAUGGGAAUCUCUCUGAUGCACA